AAGGGAGCAGGGAGCAGCUGGGGAUGGGGGCAGAGGGUGGGGAGCAGGGGUAGAAGAGCACAGGGGACUGGGGCCAGGGAUCAGGGACUGAGGGGACCUGGGCUGGGGACCUGUGGUGAGGUGUCAGGGUGGUUGGUGCUUGCUCUGACUGCGGCCCCUCAUGUCCUUGUGAACCCGAAGCCCCAUCCUUCCCCUCCCUAGGGGGAUGACACAGCGUCCCCAGAGUGCCCACCCGAAGCUGUCCCUCUCGUCUGUCUGCCUGGUGAGGACGCCUGGGUGGACAGGAGGCCAGGAGGAGCAGGCUACGCCCUGCUGAGGGGCAGAAAGGAAUCCUAGUCCCCUCCCAGAGAGAGAGGGCUCCCCCAGCCCUGCAUGGCCAGGCUGAGCCCUGUCCUGUGAAGGCCUCCGUCUGGUCGCAGGAAAACCUUCCCUGAGGCCCGGAUCUGAAUGUCUGUGUGCGCGGGUGUGCUUGUCGUUGACAUGACUUCCCAGAGGAGGAGACGUUACUCAGCACCCAGCGAGAUACUCGGAGUUUGCCUAAACCAGGUUCUGUUGCAAAAUGUGAAAAUGAAGGGGAGGAGCUCCAGAUCCCGUUCAUCACAGACAACCCCUGCAUCAUGUGUGUGUGCCUGGUUUCACCUAUCUUGCCUGCAUUUGAGAACCUUCAAGGCCCGAAGCCAAGUCUGCUUGCCCAAGGCCCAGCCCACCCCUUCCUCCCGGACCUCACCGCUGACCCAGGUUGGCUGUCUCUCCAAACAAUCCAAACCAGCUCCACUACACGCUGAUCUCUUCCCCACGUCUCAGCAAUCUCCCGACUCACAGGACACACCUGUACAUAAGGCCAGCCUCCCUGGCUGGUCCCUUACCCCAGGCCCGGGGCCCUGUUCACUCCCGCUCCACUGCCUGCUGGGUUUUGGGGAACCUGAGACACUCAAGUUCCCGUGCACUCUUCCUCUGCCGCAAGAAACCAG
rnacentral:lncRNA from 1 species